rnacentral:rRNA from 1 species
UACGGAGGAUGCAAGCGUUAUCCGGAAUUAUUGGGCGUAAAGCGUCCGUAGGUGGUUGAGUAAGUCAGUUGUUAAAGCGUGGAGCUUAACUCCAUAACGGCAAUUGAAACUACAUAGCUAGAGUACGUUCGGGGCAGAGGGAAUUCCUGGUGUAGCGGUGAAAUGCGUAGAGAUCAGGAAGAACACCGGUGGCGAAGGCGCUCUGCUAGGCCGUAACUGACACUGAGGGACGAAAGCUAGGGGAGCGAAUGGG